UACGUAGGUGGCGAGCGUUGUCCGGAUUUAUUGGGCGUAAAGAGCGUGUAGGCGGCUUUACAGGUCCGUUGUGAAAACUCGAGGCUCAACCUCGAGACGCCGGUGGAAACCGUAAGGCUAGAGUCCGGAAGAGGAGAGUGGAAUUCCUGGUGUAGCGGUGAAAUGCGCAGAUAUCAGGAAGAACACCCGUGGCGAAGGCGGCUCUCUGGGACGGUACUGACGCUGAGACGCGAAAGCGUGGGGAGCGAACAGG
rnacentral:rRNA from 1 species